rnacentral:tRNA from 1 species
AUUCUGUUAAAAGAAAUUUUCAUUUUCUUUAAAAAGUCAAAUUUACAGAAUU